rnacentral:tRNA from 1 species
GCGCUCCUACCUCAAUUUGAUAGAGCAUCUGACUACGGAUCACAAGGUUAGGGGUUCGCCUCCCUUGGAGCGCA